GUGCUUGCUUUGGCAGCACAUAUACUGAAAUUGGAACAAUACAGAGAUUAGCCUGGCCCCUUCAUAAAGAUGACAUGAAAAUUCAUGAACAAACCUUGGUUUGU